rnacentral:lncRNA from 10 species
UUUCUGUGGGUUAGGAAUAAAGGAAAAGAUUUGUUGGAUGCCUCUGCCUUAAUGUCUCUUCAAGGCUGCAGUCAAGGUGUUGGCUGGGGCUGCUGUUUCAUCUGAAGACUCAACUGGGAAAGGAUCUGUUGUCAAGCUCAUUUGUAUGGUUAAUUGUAAAUUUGUGAAAUAGCACAAAGCCAAGUUGAAGACAAUAUCUUCCCUAAUAACAGUAGUGCAAUGACAGCCAGCCAGAAAAGUUCUCCACCUUGGCAGCAAUGAGACUAAGACUUUUAUGCCUGAAUUGCUAUCUUUUUUUUCCAGGAAUUCCACCCUAACCAUCCUCCUCACUCUCCUACCUGCUUCAAUAUGGGGAAGAUUUACAGAUGAGUAUAAAAUGGGAAUAAAGUAGGCAAAGCCACGGUGGAAUUUAGGAAAGCUUACAAUUUGAUAAGGAGUAGCCCAGAUAAGGCCUGAAUGGUGAAUUGUGGUCUGAUUGCAAAGGUUCUGGCUGGAGGGCUGGAUUUCAUACCUCUGGAAUCAGGCAUGUGUUAGAUAGAUUAUACCAACAGUAGUAUUUAGGGCUAAUUGACUAGAACAGAAACUGGAGACUUGAGAGUAGUUAUGAAAAAAAUCAAAAUACAUUAAUACACAUGACAUUAUAAGAACUUGGCUUUUGGCAGUGAAAGUGGAAGUGGAUCAGAAAAGAAGGAAUGAAAAAAGAAAAAAGAGAUCCUAUGCUAGAAACAUGUAACUUUCCCCCUCAAUCUCAUAAAUCUCAAAUGCAGCAUGUUCACCCCAUAAAAUGCUAGGUAUCUGCUUGUGUUAGUCCCAUACACUUAUACUAUUCUCUCACUGAUGUUAUCAUGACAGUUCAGUGGUCAUCAGCUAAGGACAAUAAAAUUUACUUAAGAAGACUAAUGCUGCAAACAUCAUUCUUGUUAGAGAAACCUCCCUACCUCCACUCUGACCCACAUGAACGGGAAGCAUGGACCAGGACAUUAAUGAACUAACAUUUUGCCACAACAUCUAGAUAACAUGAACGUUGGAUUUAUCCAACGUUAGGUGGCUACCGUGAAUCAGAGGCUGCAGGGAGGCACCCAGGCGGCAUUAGGUUGGGGCAACAGCAGAAAUAGCAAACUAGGGCCAUAUGGUUCUGGAAGCAUUCCUACCAAAAUUCUUCAGAUAGUAAAUGGAAUGGAGAAACCAAAUGUUAGAAAAAAUUAGAAAGAAAUCAAAAUAGGGAGAGAAUACCAUAAUGAUCCUUUAUGAUUAAGGAAAUAUUACUAUGAGUUGUAUUUACUUUGUGUAAACUGAACUGUGAUGACAUUAUAUAGCACUGUAGAAUAGAAACAAAGUUUAAGGAGCUCUCAAGGUCAUUCGGUCCAACUUCUCACUUUUACAGAUAUGUUGUAUAUAGAAUCUCUAAUAUGUGACUAGCUGGCAUCGGCCUCAGUCAUCUCAAUCACAGCAAUUUUUUCUGUCAAUGAAAACUACAAAGGCAUUUCAUUUGGAGUAUCUUAAUUCUGAAGGUACCUUCAACUACAUCCCUUUCACCUUUACUCAUUCAUAGUUCUGUUUACAGGAGGCAACUAUCUAUUCUAUUUCCUUAUGACAAUUUCAAAUAUUUGUAGUUUUGUGUGUUUUUCUCCUGUUGUCGUUACGAUAAAAUCCAAACUCCAGACUGGCAAAAGCCUCUAAAAUGUGAUACUUAGACUCAAAUACAGUAUCCCAG